rnacentral:lncRNA from 1 species
GGUAAUUUACAAUCUCUAGCUAUGUGUCCUAAUUUUCCACAAUUAUAACAAGUACAUUCCGUUAGUUUUCUCUUUGGUCUAUAUGGUCUUUUGGUUUUGUAGUUUUUUACAUAGUAUCUUCUUCUUGGUUUUUUAUAUUUAUAUUUUGAUCUGUAUUUUUUAUUAUAUUUCUUUCUAUAGUAUCUGUCUGUACAACCGAAUUGGGGUGCUGUUUUAUUUUUGCAACAUGCCAAGUUUUUUACUAAUAUUUUUUCCAUUUUUAUUUCUUCUUUAUGUUUUUCACAUAGUUCUAUAAACCAUCGUUGUAAGAAUUUUAUUCUAGCUCCUAAGGUAUCUGUUAAUCCUGCUUCAUUCAAAUUUUUUAUUACUUUUUGAACUAAAAGGUUCGGGUAAUUUAGUAAAAUAUAAUUUUCUUAUUUCUUUACUUUCUUCCGUAUUAUAUGUUCCUUUAUAAUAAUAUUCUCUAAAUACACAUGUAUAUUCAUCUAUAUAACACAUAUUACAUAUUGCU